UACAGAGGGGGCAAGCGUUGUUCGGAAUUACUGGGCGUAAAGGGCGCGUAGGCGGCCCGCUAAGUCGAACGUGAAAUCCCCGGGCUCAACCCGGGAACUGCGUCCGAUACUGGUGGGCUCGAAUCCGGGAGAGGGAUGCGGAAUUCCAGGUGUAGCGGUGAAAUGCGUAGAUAUCUGGAGGAACACCGGUGGCGAAGGCGGCAUCCUGGACCGGUAUUGACGCUGAGGCGCGAAAGCCAGGGGAGCAAACAGG
rnacentral:rRNA from 1 species